GCAAGUCGAACGGGAAAUAUUUCAUUGAGACUUCGGUGGAUUUGAUCUAUUUCUAGUGGCGGACGGGUGAGUAACGCGUGGGUAACCUGCCUUAUACAGGGGGAUAACAGUCAGAAAUGGCUGCUAAUACCGCAUAAGCGCACAGAGCUGCAUGGCUCAGUGUGAAAAACUCCGGUGGUAUAAGAUGGACCCGCGUUGGAUUAGCUAGUUGGUGGGGUAACGGCCCACCAAGGCGACGAUCCAUAGCCGGCCUGAGAGGGUGAACGGCCACAUUGGGACUGAGACACGGCCCAGACUCCUACGGGAGGCAGCAGUGGGGAAUAUUGCACAAUGGGGGAAACCCUGAUGCAGCGACGCCGCGUGAAGGAAGAAGUAUCUCGGUAUGUAAACUUCUAUCAGCAGGGAAGAUAGUGACGGUACCUGACUAAGAAGCCCCGGCUAACUACGUGCCAGCAGCCGCGGUAAUACGUAGGGGGCAAGCGUUAUCCGGAUUUACUGGGUGUAAAGGGAGCGUAGACGGUGUGGCAAGUCUGAUGUGAAAGGCAUGGGCUCAACCUGUGGACUGCAUUGGAAACUGUCGUACUUGAGUGCCGGAGGGGUAAGCGGAAUUCCUAGUGUAGCGGUGAAAUGCGUAGAUAUUAGGAGGAACACCAGUGGCGAAGGCGGCUUACUGGACGGUAA
rnacentral:rRNA from 1 species